GAAUUUAAAGAAUUUCUAGGAAAUUACUAAUGGAUUUCCUAGAGUUUUUGACGGGUGGCAUAAUGGUUAGGUUCUAUUGAGAUCUAGGGUUUUUAUUAGGCAACAUUUCGGCUAGGAUUCGGGUGAUAUUUGGGAUCUGUGUUGGGCAUUAUGACGGCUAGGUUUGGUCGAUAUAUGAGGUUUGGAUUGGGCAGCAUAAUGGUUGAGUUUUGGAAUAGAUUCUAGGUAUGACUUAGGGUGUGGGGUGGUGUGUGGAUCUCAAGGCUAUGAGACCUGUAUGACAAGCUCAGCUUCGACCCUAUGACAGGUGGAGUUGGUCAAGUUUGCUUGGGCUUGGGUUUCACUAUCAGGCUUGAGAGCUUGCGUGAUGGACUCACUUCAACCACUAGAGUGGAGCUCGGGCAAGAUCAAGUAGAUGCGCGACAGCGAUAAGGGUUAGCGGCGAUGAUAGGCAGCGAGGAAUAGCCGGUUGGGUGCUGU
rnacentral:lncRNA from 1 species